AUACAGAGGGUGCAAGCGUUAAUCGGAAUUACUGGGCGUAAAGCGCGCGUAGGCGGUUUAAGCAGUCGGAUGUGAAAGCCCCGGGCUCAACCUGGGAACUGCAUUCGAUACUGUUAAGCUAGAGUAUGGUAGAGGGAAGUGGAAUUCCAGGUGUAGCGGUGAAAUGCGUAGAUAUCUGGAGGAACAUCAGUGGCGAAGGCGACUUCCUGGACCAAUACUGACGCUGAGGUGCGAAAGCGUGGGGAGCAAACAGGAUUAGAAACCCCAGUAGUCC
rnacentral:rRNA from 1 species